AGGGUUGGGCUGUUCGCCCAUUAAAGUGGUACGUGAGCUGGGUUUAGAACGUCGUGAGACAGUUCGGUCUCUAUCCGCCGUGGGCGCAGGAGAAUUGAAGGAAUCUGCUUCUAGUACGAGAGGACCGAAGUGGACGAACCUCUGGUGCACCAGUUGUUUCAUCAGAAGCAUCGCUGGGUAGCUAUGUUCGGAAAGGAUAAGCGCUGAAAGCAUAUAAGUGCGAAACCUGUCCUAAGAUUAGUUCUCCCUAUCGUUUGAUAAUAAGGCUCGUUGUAGACUACGACGUUGAUAGGCCACAAGUGUACGUGCAGUAAUGCAUUUAGCUGAGUGGUACUAAUUAGCCGAAUGGCUUUAUCAA
rnacentral:rRNA from 1 species